GAUGAAGAACGUAGCGAAAUGCGAUAAGUAAUGCGAAUUGCAGAAUUCAGUGAGUCAUCGAAUCUUUGAACGCACAUUGCGCCCUGUGGUAUUCCGCAGGGCAUGCCUGUUCGAGCGUCAUUUCAACCCUCAAGCUCUGCUUGGUGUUGGGCCCUGCCCGCUGCGGCCGGCCCUAAAGACAGUGGCGGUGCCGCCUGGCCCUGAGCGUAGUACAUCUCUCGCUCCAGUGCCCGGUGGUAGCCUGCCAGAACCCCAGCUCUCGUGGUUGACCUCGGAUCAGGUAGGGAUACCCGCUGAACUUAAGCAUAUCAAUAAGCGGAGGA
rnacentral:misc_RNA from 1 species